GGGGGACAGGGUGACAGGUGGUGCAUGGUUGUCGUCAGCUCGUGUCGUGAGAUGUUCGGGUUAAGUCCCGCAACGAGCGCAACCCUCGACCUUAGUUGCCAGCAUUCAGUUGGGCACUCUAAGGUGACUGCCGGCUAAAAGUCGGAGGAAGGUGGGGAUGACGUCAAAUCAUCAUGCCCCUUAUGACCUGGGCUACACACGUGCUACAAUGGGCGGUACAAAGGGUCGCGAACCCGCGAGGGGGAGCCAAUCCCAAAAAGCCGCUCUCAGUUCGGAUUGCAGGCUGCAACUCGCCUGCAUGAAGCCGGAAUCGCUAGUAAUCGCGGAUCAGCAUGCCGCGGUGAAUACGUUCCCGGGCCUU
rnacentral:rRNA from 1 species